AUCAACAAGAAAGCAAUAAUCUAAUCUUAAUACAACCUUUGCAAAAGGAAUAAAUCUCUAGAUAUACUUCUUCCUAGAGGGAAAAUGUAAAACAAACAAUCUUCUUGUGUUGGGAAGUUUUUUGGGGAAGUUUUACUUUACACAGUUAGUGGAAGUUUUUCAUUUCCAUAGACACAGUGCAAUGUAGAAUACCAAGCAACUACUGAGCUUUAUCACUUAAGUGGGAAGGGAAAACAAACAAACAAACAAAACAAAAAACAAAACAAAACAAAAAAAAAAAACAAACUGAUUUUGAGUUUACAAUAGACUUUUCCUGAAAACUUUUAAAGAAAUAAUGAAGCAGACAGGGAGAUACUUUUCUGUGCAGGUCAAAAGUUCAAAGUGAAAAAGAAAUUACUUCUUCUAAAAGUAAGAAAAAGGAGAUAGUAUUUUCCUGAAUUCUCUAACAAGAAGUGGCAGGGAUUUCAGUUGUCAUACACAUUUUAAUUUUUUAAGAGAGAGGGAAAAAAAAAGUGAUAUUAGAGCAGACUGAAAACAGGGAUUUGAAUGUGCACAGUAGUAAGUGAUUUUCUGAUAAUCAGUUUAAGUUUUGAUGUUAAAACAAAAUCUAAAUUAUUUCUGUUAACACAGGAAACAUGUAAAAAUGAUACAGUGUUUGUUGUAGAAGACAAGAGGAUGAAGGAAUGUCGCAGAAAAUUGAUGGCAUUGAAAUUCUACUCCAUAUUGGAAAUAAUUUCAAGAAGAUAUAUCAGCAAAUCAAGGUAAGACUGGACUAUUUUUGUAAUGAUUCAUUAACUCUGUACUCUUUUAUUUCAUGGCUUGCUUUUACAUUUGUAUCCAUUUCUCACGCUAUUUGGUGUAUCUUAGUAAAUGUAGUUCCCUUUCAGUGAGCCUUUCAUAGUUUUCAGCUCUUGUUUUGUGCUCUUGUAGCUUCUGUUAUCACAAUUUAGCCAGUUACAUAAAAGCAGUCAAUAGCAAUAUCUAUUGAUGGUGUGAGCACUUUAAAAGCUCACAUUUUAUAAAGAUCAAAAGCUCAACACUGAAUACAAAACAAAGCAAAGCAAGCUAAUGAAAGAACAGUCAUCUCAACAAACCAGCACUCCAGUAAUAGAUAAAUUACUAG
rnacentral:lncRNA from 1 species